rnacentral:rRNA from 1 species
GACGAACGCUGGCGGCGUGCCUAACACAUGCAAGUCGAACGGAAAGGCCCUGCUCUUGUGCGGUUCUCGAGUGCCGCGCGCGUGAGUAUCACGCGUGUAACCUCCCCUUUACUUUGGGGUAACAUCAGGAGACUGGGGUUCUUAUACCAUAUGAGCUCUUGCAGCAUGGGGUGCAUUGGAGAAUGUCGGCGGUGGGGGAUGGACUCGCGGCUUAUCGGCUUGUUGGUGGGGUAGUGGCUUACCAAGGCUUCGACGGGUAGCCGGCCUGGGAGCGUGACCGGGCACAAAGGGACUGCGGGAGGGCCCAGACUGCAACGGGAGGCAGCGGUGGAAAACAUUGCACAAUGGGCGGAAGCCGGAUACAACAACGUCGGGUGCGGGAAGACUGCUUGUGGGGAAGAAACCGCUUUCGACUGUGACGAAGCGGGAGUGACGGUAACGGGUAAAGAAGCACCGGCUAACUACGUG